rnacentral:rRNA from 1 species
ACUCCUACGGGAGGCAGCAGUGGGGAAUAUUGGACAAUGGGCGCAAGCCUGAUCCAGCCAUGCCGCGUGAGUGAUGAAGGCCCUAGGGUUGUAAAGCUCUUUUGUGCGGGAAGAUAAUGACGGUACCGCAAGAAUAAGCCCCGGCUAACUUCGUGCCAGCAGCCGCGGUAAUACGAAGGGGGCUAGCGUUGCUCGGAAUCACUGGGCGUAAAGGGUGCGUAGGCGGGGCUUUAAGUCAGGGGUGAAAUCCUGGAGCUCAACUCCAGAACUGCCUUUGAUACUGAAGAUCUUGAGUUCGGGAGAGGUGAGUGGAACUGCGAGUGUAGAGGUGAAAUUCGUAGAUAUUCGCAAGAACACCAGUGGCGAAGGCGGCUCACUGGCCCGAUACUGACGCUGAGGCACGAAAGCGUGGGGAGCAAACAGGAUUAGAAACCCCUGUAGUCCCAUGAU